UUAUUAUCACGAAAGGAUAAAAAAGUUAUGAACUUUUUUUGAAGGAUUCCAAAAAGUUAGUUAAAUAAUAUUGAAUUCUUAUGAUUAUCAAGUUUAAUAUUUGAACUUCUUUCUAGAUGUGGAAAGGACAAACACAACACACUUAUAUACUCAAAAGACAUUUAUCAUUAUAAUUUUAUGAAGGGUUUUAAAAUUUAAAAAUGCCUAAUCUAUUUAAUUAUUUUUAUGGGAGCAUAAUUUUUAUACACUAUAAGUAUAUCAAAAGUUAUCGUAUUUUUUAGAUGCAAAGAACGUAAAAUAUGGCUGAAACUGUGAAAUAAAGAUUGUCCAAAUGGGAGAAAUUAUAUUGGUAGGUGUCGUAAAGGUCAAUGCCAACAGAGCCCACUGAGAUGAAUGAGUUCCUGCUCUAGCAAAAUAAUUGAAGAUUAUACUUUAUGCUGCAAUAUUUGAGGAGCUGUCAUUUGGUUUUUUGUGCAUGAACCAAAUAAUUAAAUUUUCUUUUUUCUUUUUCAAAUUUUAUGGACUUUGAAAUUAUGAUUUUGUACGUUUAAAUGUUGACAACGAAAUGAAAUAAUAUAGUAUAUCCUUAUCUCAUA